rnacentral:sRNA from 1 species
UGUGCCACCACGGCCGCCGCGGCAUGGGCAUGUUGCUGCUGCUGCUGCUGCUGCUGUUGUUGCUGCUGCUGCUGCUGCUGUUGCAGCAACAGUCGCUGCGGCUGCAGCUGUGUGUAGUCCACCAUGUCCGGAU